CUCUCUCUCUGCCCCUCCCACACACACUCUCUGGCUCUUUCUCUCUCAAAAGAAUGUUUACUGUGUACAUGCAUGUCAACAACACUAAUCUUAAAAAGAGUGGCAAGAGGGGGAAAAAGCAGGCAGAUAUUCUUACAAAUAACCCAUCAGCAUUGACUUUGCAAUGGACUCAACCAGCUGCUUUGCGUAGAAUAUGGUGCUAGUUUUUGUUUUUGUUUUUUUUAUUUCCCAAAUUAGACCACAUUUUGCGCCGGAUUCAGAUCCCAAGAUUCUAAAUGGAACGUUAAAAGUGACCUGUGUUGACUUGUUCUCAAAGAGCCGGGGAAUCACAGCCAACGUUCAUUCUGUGAAUCGCAAGACACGUCUGUUUUCUGCAAGUUGGUCACUUGGGGGAUAAUAUCCCUUUCUGAUAAAAAAGGACUUAACUGGGAGAAUUUUUUCCAAUCACUGUGGGAACGUGUUUUCUUGCAAAGAGCCACGAGGAUUGUAGAGGCCAGACUAGUUGUUUCUCAGGAAACGUUUCCUCCUUGUGUCUUCCUGGAAAGAACGCGCCGGCUCUGACCACCUGGGUGUCCGGGGGGAGGCUGAAGAAUUGUUCAGAGACGCCGUGUCUGUGGUCUCUGAAAUGAAAGUUGCAAAACGAGAGAGAACACUGAACAGAAGCAAAUGUGCUUUUCCUCAACACAAGGUUUCCUCCCCCAGAACGGCAUCAGACUGUCGGAAGCUGGGCACUGUUCCAGAGUUGCAACAGUCCAUCCCUCAAGUGCAGCCCGGCGGGGAAGCUCUUAGCUCUUUGGUCUCUGGACGCGGGAGACUGAGAGACGAAAACCGCCAUCAGCUUCCCUUGUCUGUCUAGCAGGAUGGUUAUGGGACGAUGACAGCGUGCCUGCUGCGGGCUGGGUGUGCUCGGACUCCCCGCGUCCCCGGCCGCUCUGACCUCUCACCCAUUCCAAUGGAGGAAUCCCUUCCCCCACAUUUUACAGAAAAGGGAACAGACGCCCAGAGAGGUCUCGAGGCUGGCAAGUCCAAGAUCAAGGGUCACAGCAGAUGGGCGUCUGGUGAGAGCCCGCUUCCCGGUCCACGGAUGCCCGUCUUCUUUCUGUGUCCUCCCACGGCGGAAGGGGGGAGGGAGCUCUCUGGAGUCCCCCAUAUAAGGGCCCUGAUCCCACCAAGGAGGCUCUGUCUUCAUGACCUGUCACCUCCCAAAGGCUCCGCCCACGAAAGCCAUCACAUGGGGCAUCGGGCUUCAACAUAUGGGGGGGGGAGGGUGGCACAGACAUUGGGUCCAUGGUGAUAAUGAUGAGUCACAGGUGAUGGUGAUGAAGGCA